CUUGGGAACAGGAGAAAAGCCUUGGCCUUGAGAUAGACUAUCAGCCUCUCGUGACUCUGGGCCGAACCUUCUGAGGAAACCGAUACCCUCUCACCCAGCCCUUGCAGGACCUAGGGAGGUUCCCAGGAUGUUGUGAGACAGACGACCUCUGAGUGGAUGAUGCUGAAGCAGGGCCUUGAAAGCUGGGGACGACUUCUCCCUGUAGCACUCCUUGUCACCGCCUCCAGGAAGCCCUCCUAGACUGCUGCUCCCCAGUCUCACAGACAGGAAGACCCAGUGUAAUGCAUUGUCGCUUCAUGUUUCUCCUGGGAGCUUCACCUUCUCCGAGGACCUUGUAGACCUGCAUGACUCAGCCCUACAGAGGCUGGAAGAUGUGGCCUCAUGAGGACUUCUUCCCUACAUGGUGACAACUGGCUGGUGUAGAGCGUAACAGACGCUGUAACUCACGCGCACACCCUGUCCAGGCCAUGUGGGCAUCUAGGCCUGUGACCCCUGCCCAGGCAGGACGGGUUUCUCCUUCUCAGCUUCUCUCAUCCCUUCCCUUCUUCCCAUAAUCUCGUUCCACUCUUACUCAACGGCCCACCUCUGCCCUACACAUCCUCAGCAGCCUCUCUGGCCUUUCUUGCCUCUUCCAGUCACUGUCCAUGUCAUAACCCUGCUCAGGAACCAGCAACAACUCCCAGCCCCUUUCUAGACAUUACUUGACUUUUAAUAAGAAGCGUUAUCACAAUAUAAAAGAAAUGGUUUACAAAUGGCCGGCUAACUGCUCAUGUACUCACUCUUCAGAAAUAAGUCGUUUCAAGCACACUGAGGCCUCUAUCACAGUCCCGUCCUGUCCCUCAGGCUACCACUUGCCAAAAUUUGCUAUUCAUCACUCCAGUGGGUAUUUUUAUACCUGUGUUACAUAUACAU